rnacentral:rRNA from 1 species
CAGCAGCCACGGGAAUACGGAGGGUGCAAGCGUUAUCCGGAUUUAUUGGGUUUAAAGGGUCCGUAGGCGGAUCUGUAAGUCAGUGGUGAAAUCUCACAGCUUAACUGUGAAACUGCCAUUGAUACUGCAGGUCUUGAGUAAAUUUGAAGUGGCUGGAAUAAGUAGUGUAGCGGUGAAAUGCAUAGAUAUUACUUAGAACACCAAUUGCGAAGGCAGGUCACUAAGAUUUAACUGACGCUGAUGGACGAAAGCGUGGGGAGCGAACAGGAUUAGAUACCCCGGUAGUCCCUGUCUCUUAUAC